AAUUGAAGAUGAAAACAUGUAGUAAGAAGAAUAACGAUCAUAAGACAUACAUGGGCUGCGAAGACUGAUGACUAGAACAGCGUGCGUGGGCAUUGUAGAGAUAUAAAUUCUGGAAUUUAUGAAGAUGAAGACUACGAAGAGCGAGCAAUCAUUAUGAAGAAAGAACUAUAAACGUAAACAGUGAAAUAUAUAUAAGUUAAAUAAUAAAUUCAAGUAGUUUACUACUAAAGUAGUGUUCAAUACUGAGACAGUUUCAGGAUGUAAACUAAAUUAUACUAAUAAUUCUAGAUGAAAUACAAACACUGAAAAAAAUAGAUAAAUGACGACAAUUAACGCGAUGGCUGAAAAUAAUUCAAAUAUUAUUAAAACACUAUUACAUUCAACGAUAUACUAUGUUGGCAUAGUAUCACUAUGUCAACAUUAAAAAGAAAAAAAAAUGAGGACAAAAUAAGAAGACAAUGUAUAGAAGCAAACAAAAAAAGCAAGUCUACGAGAAUUAUACAAACCACGGAAAUUAAUGUAAAGAGGAAAAAGCAUUGAAACUAAAGUUCAUAAGGUCAAUAAAAUAAAAUUCUGAAUAUUAAGAAACAAAACAAUCCUUGAGACGUAGAUAGAAAACAAAUAAAAAACAUUAAAGAUAAUAAAUAGUUCAACGUUGUAAAAUGAAGUAAGAAUAAUGAAAAGUAAUUAACAUAUGAAGAAUUAGUAUGACCAUGAAGAGGGGCAGCAGAUGUGAAACAAGAGAACGCUACAAAAUAAUUAAUUAUUUGAAGAAAAAUUUAAGGUAAGAAGAAGCGGCCAGUGUACGAUUUCCUCAUAUUGAAAAUUAAAGUUAUUGAAUAUUAAAAGGAAGAACCUAGCAGCGUGAUAAGAUAAACAGCAAGACUACUCUACAAAUAGAAACCGACCACCAAUUAAAAAGAAAAUUAAACAUGGUGAUGGAUAUUUGUAAAACGUAAAAUCCUACCGUCCAUAAAGAUCAAAUAUCUUAAUAUAAUAUAGAUGAAGUGUAAUAAAGUACAGAUAACAAUAGGACUAGACACGAAGAGCGAAACAAAAUCGCACCAAAAUAAUUGGACCAUCAUCACCAAACCAAUUUUAAAAAAAACACCAAAAAAUAUUAAGAUCCUUAACACAACCACACAGACAGACGUUAAUGUUGAAAAUAAUAAAGGAACGAAUUAUCUAAGAAGAAAGUGUUUAAGUAGGAUAUAAUCCUAAAAAAUAAUAAUGAAGUAACAGAAAAUGGACCGUUAGCGCACAAAACAACAACUAGGAAAACUACAUCAGCUAGAAUGAAAAAUAAAAUUUUCCUGUAAAACACAAACAUUGAAAUUACAUUGAAAUGUUAAUGUUAAAACCUGGCACACAAGCAAAUAACGAAUAAACAAUGAAAAAUGAAGGAAAAGUAAAGUUUAUCGAAUAUUUCAAGAUGAAGAGAAACUGAUACAGUAGAAUAAAAGAACACAAAUACCCUAAAACAUCAUAGGAGGUGAAAAUUUAAAAAGAAACAAACGAACAAUACUAAAAUAUGAUGACUUUCAACAAAAAACUGCGAUUAGCAGAAAUGAAGAUGAAAACAAUAAACACACACCAAGAGGUAAUUACUACCAUAAGCAGGGGAGCAAAAAUAUAUGAAGACACAAAGAAAAAAAUAAAGAAGAAUAUAUUUUUGUAUAUAGCUGUAUGCUACAUGCGAAGUUGUAUACGUUUGUUUUAGAAAUAAACGAAUGAAUUCUUA